UACGGAGGAUGCGAGCGUUAUCCGGAUUUAUUGGGUUUAAAGGGUGCGUAGGCGGGAUGCCAAGUCAGCGGUAAAAAUGCGGUGCUCAACGCCGUCGAGCCGUUGAAACUGGCGUUCUUGAGUGGGCGAGAAGUAUGCGGAAUGCGUGGUGUAGCGGUGAAAUGCAUAGAUAUCACGCAGAACUCCGAUUGCGAAGGCAGCAUACCGGCGCCCUACUGACGCUGAGGCGCGAAAGCGUGGGGAGCAAACAGG
rnacentral:rRNA from 1 species